AGAGUUUGAUCCUGGCUCAGAACGAACGCUGGCGGCGUGGAUAAGACAUGCAAGUCGAACGGGACUACUUUUGGUAGCAAUACCGAGAGUAGUUUAGUGGCGAACGGGUGCGUAACACGUGGGCAAUCUGCCGAGAAGUGGGGGAUAGCUCGCCGAAAGGCGAAUUAAUACCGCAUAUGAUCAGGGCACGACAUCUUCCCAACAUCAAAGCCGGGGCAACCUGGCGCUUCUUGAUGAGCCCGCGGCCUAUCAGCUAGUUGGUGAGGUAACGGCUCACCAAGGCUAUGACGGGUAGCUGGUCUGAGAGGACGACCAGUCACACUGGAACUGAGACACGGUCCAGACACCUACGGGUGGCAGCAGUCGAGAAUUUUUCUCAAUGGGGGAAACCCUGAAGGAGCGACGCCGCGUGGAGGAUGAAGGCUUUCGGGUUGUAAACUCCUGNUCAUUUGAGAACAAGUGUAGCCAAGUAACUACUGGCUACUUGAUAGUAUCAGAAGAGGAAGAGACGGCUAACUCUGUGCCAGCAGCCGCGGUAAUACAGAGGUCUCAAGCGUUGUUCGGAUUCAUUGGGCGUAAAGGGUGCGUANGUGGCGGGGUAAGUCAGGUGUGAAAUUUCGGAGCUUAACUCCGAAACUGCAUUUGAUACUGCCUUGCUUGAGGACUGGAGAGGAGACUGGAAUUCACGGUGUAGCAGU
rnacentral:rRNA from 1 species